UACGUAGGGUGCGAGCGUUGUCCGGAAUUAUUGGGCGUAAAGGGCUCGUAGGCGGUUUUGUCGCGUCGGGAGUGAAAAACCUUGGGCUUAACUCAGGGCUUGCUUUCGAUACGGGCAGACUAGAGGUAUGCAGGGGAGAACGGAAUUCCUGGUGUAGCGGUGAAAUGCGCAGAUAUCAGGAGGAACACCGGUGGCGAAGGCGGUUCUCUGGGCAUGAUCUGACGCUGAGGAGCGAAAGUGUGGGGGAGCGAACAGG
rnacentral:rRNA from 1 species